rnacentral:tRNA from 1 species
GGCCUCGUAGCUCAGCCGGUAGUGUGAAAUGUAAAAGGGAGUAGGGGGCGUCUAUGCGUGGGUUCGAAUCCCACCAAGACUA